UAGGGAAUCUUCCACAGUGGGCGAAGCCUGAUGGAGCAACGCCGCGUGUGUGAUGAAGGGUUUCGGCUCGUAAACACUGUUGUAAGAGAAGAAUGACAUUGAGAGUAACUGUUCAAUGUGUGACGGUAUCUUACCAGAAAGGAACGGCUAAAUACGUGCUAG
rnacentral:rRNA from 1 species